ACGGAAGGCAGCAGUGGGGAAUAUUGCACAAUGGGGGAAACCCUGAUGCAGCGACGCCGCGUGAGUGAAGAAGUAUUUCGGUAUGUAAAGCUCUAUCAGCAGGAAAGAAAAUGACGGUACCUGACUAAGAAGCCCCGGCUAACUACGUGCCAGCAGCCGCGGUAAUACGUAGGGGGCAAGCGUUAUCCGGAUUUACUGGGUGUAAAGGGAGCGUAGACGGCUUUGCAAGUCUGAAGUGAAAGCCCGGGGCUCAACCCCGGAACUGCUUUGGAAACUGUAGAGCUAGAGUGCAGGAGAGGUAAGUGGAAUUCCUAGUGUAGCGGUGAAAUGCGUAGAUAUUAGGAGGAACACCAGUGGCGAAGGCGGCUUACUGGACUGUAACCGACGUUGAGGCUCGAAGGCGUGGGGAGCAAACAGGAUUAGAUACCCUGGUA
rnacentral:rRNA from 1 species